ACUGGGACUGAGACACUGCCCAGACUCCUACGGGAGGCUGCAGUCGAGGAUCAUUGGCAAUGCGCGAAAGCGUGACCAUGCGACGCUGCGUGGGGGAUGAAGGCCUUCGGGUUGUAAACCCCUGUCAUUGGGGACAAAUCGCUCGGCCGUGAAUAUCGGUUGAGUUUGAUGGUACCUGAAGAGGAAGCCACGGCUAACUCUGUGCCAGCAGCCGCGGUAAUACAGAGGUGGCGAGCGUUGUUCGGAUUUACUGGGCGUAAAGGGUGCGUAGGUGGCUGCGUGUGUCGGAUGUGAAAUCCCGUUGCUUAACAGCGGAACUGCAUUCGAAACUGCGUGGCUUGAGUGCAGGAGGGGAGAGCGGAAUUCUCGGUGUAGCGGUGAUAUGUGUUGAUAUCGAGAAGAACACCGGUGGCGAAGUCGGCUCUCUGGAAUGUUACUGACACUGAGGCACGAAAGCUGGGGGAGCAAACAGGAUUAGAUACCCUGGUAGUCCCAGCCGUAAACGGUGCGCACUUGGUGUUGGCGGUAUUGAUCCCGCCAGUGCCGGAGCUAACGCGUUAAGUGCGCCGCCUGGGGAGUACGGCCGCAAGGCUAAAACUCAAAGAAAUUGACGGGGGCCCGCACAAGCGGAGGAGCAUGUGGCUUAAUUCGAUGCAACGCGAAGAACCUUACCAGGGCUUGACAUGCGGCUGCACGGCCGGUGAAAGCCGGUUUCCUUCGAGGGUGCCGCACAGGUGCUGCAUGGCUGUCGUCAGUUCGUGCCGUGAGGUGUUGGGUUAAGUCCCGCAACGAACGCAACCCCUGUGGUUAGUUGCCACCGCCGGUGAUGAGCCGGCGAGCACUCUAGCCAGACUGCCCGUACAAGCGGGAGGAAGGUGGGGACGACGUCAAGUCAGUAUGGCCCUUACGCCCUGGGCUGCACACGUGCUACAAUGGUCGGUACAAUGGGAAGCAAGACCGCGAGGUGGAGCAAAUCCCCAAAGCCGGCCUCAGUUCGGAUUGGAGUCUGCAACUCGACUCCAUGAAGUCGGAUUCGCUAGUAACGGCGCAUCAGCUACGGCGCCGUGAAUACGUUCCCGGGCCUUGUACACACCGCCCGUCACAUCAUGAAAGCCGUCUGCACCCGAAGUCGCCGGGCUAACCCGCAAGGGAGGCAGGUGCCGAAGGUGUGGGUGGUGAUUGGGAUGAAGUCGUAGCAAGGUA
rnacentral:rRNA from 1 species